rnacentral:misc_RNA from 1 species
ACAAACUUGGUCAUUUAGAGGAAGUAAAAGUCGUAACAAGGUCUCCGUUGGUGAACCAGCGGAGGGAUCAUUACUGAGUUAUCCAAAACUCCCAAACCCUUUGUGAACCUUACCGUCGUUUCCUCGGCGUGCGCCGCGGCUACCCCGUAGCUACCCUGCAACGGCCUACCCUGUAGUAGCUACCCUGCAACGGCCUACACUGGUAGCCGGCUCACGGCCCGCCGAAGGACCGCCAAACUCUUGUUUGAACCACUGCAUCUCUGAACACCUAACUGAAAUAAGUUAAAACUUUCAACAACGGAUCUCUUGGUUCUGGCAUCGAUGAAGAACGCAGC